CCUACGGGUGGCUGCAGUCGGGAAUUUUGCGCAAUGGACGAAAGUCUGACGCAGCAACGCCGCGUGAGGGAUGACGGCCUUCGGGUUGUAAACCUCUUUUGUCAGGGACGAUGAUGACGGUACCUGACGAAUAAGCCACUGCUCACUACGUGCCAGCAGCCGCGGUAAUACGUAGGUGGCCAGCGUUAUCCGGAUUUACUGGGCGUAAAGAGCGCGCAGGCGGUCGUUCAAGUCGCGUGUGAAAGCCCCCGGCUCAACUGGGGAGGGUCACGCGAUACUGAUCGACUCGAAGGCAGGAGAGGGUAGUGGAAUUCCCGGUGUAGUGGUGAAAUGCGUAGAUAUCGGGAGGAACACCAGUGGCGAAGGCGACUACCUGGCCUGUUCUUGACGCUGAGGCGCGAAAGCUAGGGGAGCAAACGGGAUUAGAUACCCGAGUAGUC
rnacentral:rRNA from 1 species